rnacentral:lncRNA from 1 species
ACAGACCCGCCCCGGCAGCCCGGCCCACCCCAAAUCAUGUGUGUGUGCUGGGGGGUGGGGGCUAGUGGGGCAGAGGAUAAGCAGGCUGGAAGAGCCGACUCCUACGGCUGCGAUCCAAGAGGUGCCUGCAACAGUUGCCCCCCGACUUCUGUCGCCCCCAUGGAGGCAAACAAGUCUGGAACAGGGAAUGGGGGUCUGGGAGAGAAGAUGAAAAGACUGAGGAUCAGAGAGGUGAGCAGUAGCUUUCCCAAAGGCCCAGAGCCAAGAAGCGUUGAAGCUUAAAAGCACGCCGCGGCAGGGAAGAUCAAGCAAGCCCUGCGCCUAUCUGCAGCUUGAUCUCUCUGUACUGAGCCAUGGAGCUCCUUCUUGGAGGCGUGAAAUGCUCCCCAUCCUUCAGGAGACAACAGCAACAGCCAGCCACUCCUUGUCCAGUCAGCAAUGCUGGAAUACCUCUGCAGCUCACAGUCCAACGCCCACAGCCUUCGAGUCAGUUUCUUGAUAUUCGGCAAUGCACUGGACUCCUGAUCCCAUCAGCUCCUGGCUGAAGGUGGGCCAACCCUUCCCCAUUUCCUUCAAUUCAAACAUUUCCUCAUGUCCCUCAGUGCCAAGCCCUGUGCUGGGAGCUGAGGACCCAGAGGUGAGCUAGAUCUAAAAUCUGACCUCAAGGAGCUAACAGUCUGAGAGGAAGACUGGAGUGGAUAAAAAUACCUUGGUAAUUUAUCACUUAAUAAAUAUCCAAUAAAUGCUAUUAUGUGCCAAGCCAUUGCUAAGCUCAGAGAAUACAGUGGUUAAAAGCAACCCAUAGAGCUUAUAGUCUUUGGGGGAGAAAUAAUUUUUAAAAGUUAUCAACUAGCAGGGCAUGGUGGCAUACCCCUGUAGUCCUGGCUCCUCUGGAGGGUAAAGCAGGAGGAUCACUUGAGCCCAGGAGUUCAAGGCUGCAAUGAGCUAUGAUGGCACCACUGCUCUCCAGCCUGAGUGACAGAGCAAGACUCAAUCUCUAAAAUAAAUAAAUAAAUAAAUAAAAUAAAAAAUAAAAAGCCAUCAAA